UUCACUAUGACGAAAAAAAAUACCACUUGCAGAAUUUACCAGCUGGUUACACUGAAGUGGGUAUGGGGCCAAUUUCAAACAAGCGCUAAUUUUUUAAUAAUUUGCAGUCUUUCAUGUUUAUCAAAAAGAACGUUUGCUUAUGUAUCUAAAACUAACUUUAGACCAAUUUUAAAGUUAUUAAAAAAAAACUUCUCGAAGGUAAAACAAUUGUUGCAAACGCGCAGUGCACAAGCCGCCGCUAAAAAUGUACAAAAAUGUACUAAAUAAUAACACACUGUUUGCUCGGCCUGCCAACCGGCUUCAUCUUUGUGUUUCUAUGCAAUUCAUGCAAUGCAAAGAUCUGGCAACACCGAUUGCAUGUUUACAUUUUUAAAUUGGCGAACGUUUGGCGCGCAAUCAAAAAAACCAGGUCAACUUUAGAGCUAUGUACGUCACUAGACAUGACACCCCAAACGGGGCGAACGCACAACUCACGCAACUGUCAAUCGAUAUAUUUUCUUAAACAAAACUACGUAACUCAAGAUGACAUCAUACUGAAUGACGUGACACGACACUUGAGCCCACAGCGCGUGACACGCAACUGCAGUUCACAAAGCACGAUGCACUCGUCAACUUCUGGAGGUCAACUUCAGACUCUUGAUUUGAGUGGCAAUGAUAACGAUAAAGAAUCAACAACAAUUGAAGAAUGUACUUUAGAGGAAUAAUUCGUUUAUUUAUUGAAUACAUUGAAAUGCAUACACGAGUUGUUCUCAAUUUGUUUUUGUUUUUUGUAUUUUUUUUGUUGGUUUUAUCAUUUAUAUUACUUUGUAUUUGUUUAAAUAAAUAAGAUACAUACGUUUAAUCAAUAAUAGCAGUAUUUAUCGUGCAAAUUUGAUAAGCAUAAUAAUGUUUUACUUGUUUUGCUGGUUU